AUUGAACGCUGGCGGCAUGCCUUACACAUGCAAGUCGAACGGUAACGCGGGGCAACCUGGCGACGAGUGGCGAACGGGUGAGUAAUGUAUCGGAACGUGCCCAGUUGUGGGGGAUAACUGCUCGAAAGAGCAGCUAAUACCGCAUACGACCUGAGGGUGAAAGCGGGGGAUCGCAAGACCUCGCGCAAUUGGAGCGGCCGAUAUCAGAUUAGGUAGUUGGUGGGGUAAAGGCUCACCAAGCCAACGAUCUGUAGCUGGUGUGAGAGGACGACCAGCCACACUGGGACUGAGACACGGCCCAGACUCCUACGGGAGGCAGCAGUGGGGAAUUUUGGACAAUGGACGCAAGUCUGAUCCAGCCAUGCCGCGUGCGGGAAGAAGGCCUUCGGGUUGUAAACCGCUUUUGUCAGGGAAGAAACGCUCUGGGUUAAUACCUCGGGGUAAUGACGGUACCUGAAGAAGAAGCCUCGGCUAACUCCGUGCCAGCCGCCGCCGUAAGAC
rnacentral:rRNA from 1 species